rnacentral:rRNA from 1 species
AUUGAACGCUGGCGGCAUGCCUUACACAUGCAAGUCGAACGGCAGCACGGGUGCUUGCCCCUGGUGGCGAGUGGCGAACGGGUGAGUAAUACAUCGGAACAUGUCCUGUAGUGGGGGAUAGCCCAGCGAAAGCCGGAUUAAUACCGCAUACGAUCUACGGAUGAAAGCGGGGGACCUUCGGGCCUCGCGCUAUAGGGUUGGCCGAUGGCUGAUUAGCUAGUUGGUGGGGUAAAGGCCUACCAAGGCGACGAUCAGUAGCUGGUCUGAGAGGACGACCAGCCACACUGGGACUGAGACACGGCCCAGACUCCUACGGGAGGCAGCAGUGGGGAAUUUUGGACAAUGGGCGAAAGCCUGAUCCAGCAAUGCCGCGUGUGUGAAGAAGGCCUUCGGGUUGUAAAGCACUUUUGUCCGGAAAGAAAUCCUUGGCCCUAAUACGGUCGGGGGAUGACGGUACCGGAAGAAUAAGCACCGGCUAACUACGUG